rnacentral:rRNA from 1 species
UACGUAGGGUGCGAGCGUUGUCCGGAAUUAUUGGGCGUAAAGGGCUCGUAGGCGGUCUGUUGCGUCGGGCGUGAAAACUCAGGGCUUAACCCUGAGCCUGCUUCCGAUACGGGCAGACUAGAGGUAUGCAGGGGAGAACGGAAUUCCUGGUGUAGCGGUGAAAUGCGCAGAUAUCAGGAGGAACACCGGUGGCGAAGGCGGUUCUCUGGGCAUUACCUGACGCUGAGGAGCGAAAGUGUGGGGAGCAAACGGG